rnacentral:siRNA from 1 species
AUCAAAACUGAUUUUGGAGAG